GACGAACGCUGGCGGCGUGCUUAACACAUGCAAGUCGAACGGAAAGGCCUGCUUUCCCUUGUGGAUUGCGGGUACUCGAGUGGCGAACGGGUGAGUAACACGUGAGUGAUCUGCCCCCAACUUGGGUAUAAGCCUGGGAAACUGGGUCUAAUUCCCGAUAGGACUGCAGGGUGGUGCCUGUGGUGGAAAACGAUUUUCUAGUGGUUGGGGAUGAGCUCGCGGCCUAUCAGCUUGUUGGUGGGGUAAUGGCCUACCAAGGCGGCGACGGGUAGCCGGCCUGAGAGGGUGGACGGCCACAUUGGGACUGAGAUACGGCCCAGACUCCUACAGGAGGCAGCAGUGGGGAAUAUGGCACAAUGGGCGGAAGCCUGAUGCAGCGACGCCGCGUGGGGGAUGACGGCCUUCGGGUUGUAAACUCCUUUCGACCGCGAGGAAGCCACCUGGUUGGAAGGGUGGUGACGGUAGUGGUAGAAGAAGCACCGGCUAACUACGUG
rnacentral:rRNA from 1 species